UAUCAAAAACAUGUCCUUUAGUUGUUUAUAUUUAAGGUCUAACCUGCCCAAUGAUUUUUAUUUAAUGGCCGCAGUAUUUUAACUGUGCUAAGGUAGCAUAAUCAUUUGUCUUUUAAUUGAGGGCUGGAAUGAAUGGUUGGACGAGAAACUUUCUUUCUUUUAUUUAAUUAAUGAAUUUAACUUUUUAGUUAAAAGGCUUAACUUUUUUUAUGGGACGAGAAGACCCUAUAGAUCUUUAUAUUUUAAAUAUUAUAUAUUUGUUUAGUUAUUGAUUAAUUUUAUUAUUUGAUUUAUUUUGUUGGGGUGAUGCAGGAAUUUAAUGAACUUCUUGUUUUAUUUAUUCAUUUAUUUAUGUUUUUUUGAUCCAUUUUUAUGAUUAUAAGAUUAAGUUACCUUAGGGAUAACAGCGUAAUUUUUUCGGAGAGUUCAUAUCGAUGAAGAAGUUUGCGACCUCGAUGUUGGAUUAAAAUAAGUUUUGGGCGUAGUAGUUCAAUUACUAGGUCUGUUCGACCUUUAAUUUUUUACAUGAUCUGAGUU
rnacentral:rRNA from 1 species